rnacentral:rRNA from 1 species
CAGCCGUAAACAAUGUGCGUUAGGUGUGUCGGUAACCACGCGUUACUGAUGCGCCGAAGAGAAAUCGUGAAACGCACCACCUGGGAAGUACGGUCGCAAGGCUGAAACUUAAAGGAAUUGGCGGGGGAGCACCACAACAGGUGGAGCCUGCGGUUUAAUUGGAUUCAACGCCGGAAAUCUCACCGGAUAAGACAGCAGAAUGAUUGCCGGGCUGAAGACUCUGCAUGACUAGCUGAGAGGUGGUGCAUGGCGUCAGUGACU